UACGUAGGGGGCAAGCGUUGUCCGGAAUCAUUGGGCGUAAAGCGCGUGUAGGCGGCUCGGUAAGUCCGCUCUGAAAGUCCGGGGCUCAACCCCGGGAGGCGGGUGGAUACUGUCGAGCUCGAGUCCGGAAGAGGCGAGUGGAAUUCCUGGUGUAGCGGUGAAAUGCGUAGAUAUCGUAAGGAAGACCAGUGGCGAAGGCGGGUCUCUGGACAGUUCCUGACGCUGAGGCACGAAGGUCAGGGGAGCAAACGGG
rnacentral:rRNA from 1 species